ensembl:lncRNA
ACAAACUAGUGCGCAAUGACAUGCGAUGCUUCAUGGUAAAGAUGAUGAUGAAGAGCGUUUGGAUGCAUGAAUGUGCCACUUGACUUGAAAGCGCGCUGUAAGGAGUCACGGGAUGUGAGCUGCCUACCUAGACAUGUUUGGGCCAAAACUGCUGCACACUGUAAAAAGAAAAAAAAGUGUAUUAAAAUUUGAUUUCCGCCUUAAGUAAAAACAAAGUGAUGCCAAAGUUAUAAUCUGCACUUUUUCAAACAUUUAACUGAUUAAAAGGGUUUAGUUUAAAUGUAAAAAUCUCAAUGGAUGGAAACCGAGACAAAAAAAAAAUAAAUAAUAAUAAUUAAAUAAAUAAAACCUUUUGAGUUCAGCUGCCUCGGAGUGCCCCAAAAUGCUGUCUAGGUAGGCAACUCAGGUAUUGAGACACAAGCCAUGGAGGUGGACUUAACAGACACUCGCACAGUAAUCCCUCAUUAGGGGUCUGGAUGGAAGCACUAGAGUUGCUCUGCGCAAUAAGACGCUUAAAGUCUCUGCUUAACCCUUACUAUGGUGUAAGAGGUUUUAGGAAUGAUCUUGUUUACCUAAUAAGUUUCCUCAAGGAAAUGUUUUUUCUUUUUCUCUUUUUCUUUCUUUCUUUUUUUUUUUUUUACUGAGAAAAACAGCAGUCCUGAAAUUAAUUUUUCUUUCUUUCUUUCUUUCUUUCUUUCUUUCUUUCUUUUUUCUUUCUUUCUUUCUUUCUUUCUUUCUUUCUUUCUUCUGAAAGAAGUGGUGUCUAAACUAACUGAACAAUGAUUUACAAAACUACUUUCCUUUCAGGAUGUUCCAUUUGUUUUUUUUUUGUUUUUUUUUUUUGCACUGUGCAGAUCGAUCGUUGUAUGACAUUCACAAGAGCUAUAGAGAGCAGAGCAGAUGGCUCCUUAUGCUUCCGAAUCGCUUAUGUUAUCUCUAGAUCACUGGCUAAUUUGAGGUGCUGUAGUGGGUUUAUUAAAAAUGGCAUGGUGCAGUUAUGACGCAUGAUCGAAGUGGUGUCAUCUGGGGCCACUGUUCUUACUCAAUACAGCCACAUGUCUGCUCACGAAUACUGUAUGGUGAUCUACGGCUAAAAUGGAAGUGCAGUCUCAUAAUAAGUUUCCAUAAGCAAUUGGUUUCAUGAAAGACAAGCAUAAAAUGGAUUGUUCACUCAGAAAUGAAAAUUCUGUCAUCAUUUACCCUCGUGUCGGUUUCAAACCUGUAUGGAUUUCUUAUUAUUCUUGGUUAGGUUUGGAACAACAGGAGAUAUUGGCAGAAUUUUAAUUUUUUAAUGAACUAUCCCUUUAUGAAUCUGAUGGUAAGGGUAUAAUCUUGUUUAGCAAUUGUUGUUGGAAUAAUAUUGUAAGCUAAACACAGACACAUUGUGAUGGGGCAUCAAAAUAUUCAUGAAAUGUACAAUACAGCAAUUGUUGCACAAGAGGUGUGCAACGUAUUGUCAGGGCAAAGGAAUCUCCUAUCUGUACAAUAAUCAGAGCUCAGCCUGUUACUGCUGAAGUUGGAUUAAUGCCAAAGACAUCAGCCUAUCACAGCAGAGCACUGCCUAUCACUAUACAGAUCAGCCUCUCACAUCAGAGCUAUGAUUAUUGCUAUACUGAUCAGCCUAUCACAGCGGAGCUCUGUCUAUCCACUAUAGUGAACAGCCUAUCACAGCGGAGCUCUGUCUAUCCACUAUAGUGAACAGCCUAUCACAGUGGAGCACUGUCUAUCGCUAUACAGAUCAGCCUCUCACAUCAAAGCUAUGAUUAUCGCUAUACUGAUCCGGCCUAUCACAGCAGAGCUAUGAUUAUCACUAUACUGAUCAGCCUAUCACAGCGGAGCUCUGUCUAUCCACUAUACUGAACAGCCUAUCACAGCGGAGCUCUGUCUAUCCACAAUAGUGAACAGCCUAUCACAGCGCAGCUCUGUCUAUCCACUAUAGUGAACAGCCUAUCACAGUGGAGCACUGUCUAUCGCUAUACAGAUCAGCCUCUCACAUCAAAGCUAUGAUUAUCGCUAUACUGAUCCGGCCUAUCACAGCAGAGCUAUGAUUAUCACUAUACUGAUCAGCCUAUCACAGCGGAGCUCUGUUUAUCCACUAUACUGAUAGGCCUAUCACAGCGGAGCUCUGUCUAUCCACAAUAGUGAACAGCCUAUCACAGCGGAGCUCUGUCUAUCGCUAUACAGAUCAGCCUCUCACAUCAAAGCUAUGAUUAUCGCUAUACUGAUCCGGCCCAUCACAGCAGAGCUAUGAUUAUCGCUAUACUGAUCAGCCUAUCACAGCGGAGCUCUGUUUAUCCACUAUACUGAUCAGCCUAUCACAGCAGAGCUCUGUCUAUCCACUAUAGUGAACAGCCUAUCACAGCGGAGCUCUGUCUAUCCACUAUAGUGAACAGCCUAUCACAGCGGAGCUCUGUUUAUCCACUAUAGUGAACAGCCUAUCACAUUGGAGCACUGUCUAUCGCUAUACAGAUCAGCCUCUCACAUCAAAGCUGUGAUUAUCGCUAUACUGAUCGGCCUAUCACAGCAGAGCUAUGAUUAUCGCUAUAGUGAUCAACCUUUCACAGAAAAGCUCUGUCUAUCAAUUACAGUGAUCAACCUAACACUUGCUCUUCAUAUGUACUCACAAAGGUCAGGUUAUUGCUUUCUACUCACAGAAUUAAUUGAUCUAAUUUUAUAAAUAGAAAAAAAGCGAGAAUGUGGCAGACAAAUUCACAAAAAAAAAAAAAAAAAAACUCCUGAUUGUCAUUAUCUCAGCACUCAACAGGUUAAACUGGGUUACACAGUAUCUCUGCGCCUUUUAUAUUUAUCCCAGUCUUAUCAAGUCGCCUUUAUUUAUUUAGUGCUUUAUACAAUACUGAGUGUGUCAAAGCAGCUUUACAGUGUCAAACAGGAAAUUAGUUUGUCAAUAAUGCAAGUCUUGUGAAAUAUCUAGCCCAGACCUGUCUAAUCUGGGUGAGCUGUUGUUGUGUUGUUGUUAGGCAUGUCUCCACUUGGGGUGUUAGAAAACCUGCAAACAAAGCAGGAUGAUCUUCUGAUUUUCCCUCAGAUAUUCUACAACACAACCACAAGAAAAAACUUGCAGUAAUUGUUAUGCUUAAACUGAUAAAAAAAAAAAAAAAAAAAUGUUUAUAUCUUAUUCCCAAUUUAUAUCUUAUUUCCAGUUUAACAGAGAUUUCUCAUGUUGGACCGCUUUUCCUUUUGUACCUAACAGAAAAGGCAAAUAUUCUCUCACUUUAUAAAGACACAAAAGGAGAAUUGUUCUGUUUCUAGCUAUACUUGGU